GUCUGCGAGGAUCCUGGAGGGGACCGGCGAUUCCAGACUUCCAGCCCGCCUUCCACUCCCACCACGCUUCGGGGGUGAUGGGAUGGCAUUCACGUGUGUGGCACUCGUCUGGGCAUCCCAGAUUUUGAAGAAACCCAGAGACAUCUUGCAGGGAGGUAAAGCAUGACUAAUUGGUCACCUCUGGCACUUUUAGGGGCACAUCAGUAAUGAUCACUCUCAGACUUUGGCACAGCACUGCUGAUGGUUCUUCAGAACUCAGGAUUCAUGCUGCAGUGGGUCUGCCUGAGAACUUAACAUUGGCUGGAAACCCUGAGACAAUGACAGGGACCCCCCUCCCCAAGGCCCACAGGACAUGGCCUAACCCAAUUUAAAGACGCCACGGAGAGAAUGAGGAGUGACGAGCCGACGACGCCCAUGGAAGAGAGC